GAGAGCCGGAUGACCGGGAAACCGUCAUGUCCGGCUCGGCGGGAGGCCGCGCGGAACAGGACUCGCCUCACAGCGAGCACCUCACCGCGCGGCCGACCCAAC
rnacentral:ncRNA from 1 species